UACAGAGGCCUCGAGCGUUAGGCGGAAUCACUGGGCUUAAAGCGUGUGUAGGCGGACUUCUAAGUACCUUGUGAAAUCCCACGGCUUACCCGUGGAACUGCUCGGUAUACUGGUUGUCUUGAGCCACCUAGGGGCGAGUGGAACAAAUGGUGGAGCGGUGAAAUGCGUAGAUAUCGGGUAGAACACCAGUGGCGAAGGCGACGAUCUGGACGGACACUGACGGCUGAGACGCGAAAGCGUGGGGAGCAAACAGG
rnacentral:rRNA from 1 species